rnacentral:misc_RNA from 1 species
UGUGGGAGCGAGCCUGCUCGCGAUAGCGGUGUGUCAGUCAACUUCAAUAUCGACUGAUACACCGCUAUCGCGAGCAGGCUCGCUCCCACA